UCAAUAGGUUUCAACUGACUCAUAAUCAGGGAGUCCUUGGUUCAAGCCCAAGUGGGACCA
rnacentral:tRNA from 1 species